rnacentral:rRNA from 1 species
AAAGCGCCUGUAGGUUGUUUAAUAAGUCUGUUGUUAAAGACUAGGGCUCAACCCUAGAAAAGCAAUGGAAACUACUAGACUAGAGUAUGGCAGGGGUAGAGGGAAUUUCUAGUGUAGCGGUGAAAUGCGUAGAUAUUAGAAAGAACACCGGUGGCGAAAGCGCUCUACUGGACCAUUACUGACACUCAGAGGCGAAAGCUAGGGUAGCAAAAGGGAUUAGAUACCCCUGUAGUCCUAGCCGUAAACGAUGGAUACUAGAUGUUGUAUUUAUUUUACAGUAUCGUAGCUAACGCGUUAAGUAUCCCGCCUGGGGAGUACGCUCGCAAGGGUGAAACUCAAAGGAAUUGACGGGGGCCCGCACAAGCGGUGGAGCAUGUGGUUUAAUUCGAUGCAACGCGAAGAACCUUACCAGGGCUUGACAUACUGCGAAUUUUUUUGAAAGAAGAGAGUGCCUUCGGGAACGCAGAUACAGGUGGUGCAUGGCUGUCGUCAGCUCGUGUCGUGAGAUGUUGGGUUAAGUCCCGCAACGAGCGCAACCCUUGUUUUUAGUUACCAACUUGUUGGGUUUUCUAGAAAGACUGCCGGUGACAAACCGGAGGAAGGUGAGGAUGACGUCAAGUCAGCAUGCCCCUUAUGCCCUGGGCCACACACGUGCUACAAUGGUUAGGACAAAGAGUUGCGAGUUGCAAAAACAAGCUA